rnacentral:lncRNA from 1 species
GACAACGGGUGGAAUAGAAAUAGAAAUGUCCACUUAGAACUCGCUAGGAUAAGCUCUAAUCAUGGCUCUGAUACCAUGUUAGAAGUGGGUUUUAAAAUAAUUCCAAUACUAAUACUUAUCAAUACAAAAAAUUUUAUGGUUAAAAUCAAUAUCAAUAAAGUUAGAAUUAUCUUCUCCAAAAUCUAAAUUCAAUACAUAAUACUUAAUCAUCUCAACAUUGUAUUUCUU